GACGAACGCUGGCGGCGUGCUUAACACAUGCAAGUCGAACGGAAAGGCUCCAGCUUGCUGGAGUACUCGAGUGGCGAACGGGUGAGUAACACGUGGGUAAUCUGCCCUGCACUCUGGGAUAAGCCUGGGAAACUGGGUCUAAUACUGGAUAUGACCUUUCUCCUUAUGGGGUUUGGUGGAAAGUUUUUCGGUGUAGGAUGAGCCCGCGGCCUAUCAGCUUGUUGGUGGGGUGAUGGCCUACCAAGGCGACGACGGGUAGCCGGCCUGAGAGGGUGAUCGGCCACAUUGGGACUGAGAUACGGCCCAGACUCCUACGGGAGGCAGCAGUGGGGAAUAUUGCACAAUGGGCGGAAGCCUGAUGCAGCGACGCCGCGUGAGGGACGACGGCCUUCGGGUUGUAAACCUCUUUCAGCAGGGACGAAGCGUAAGUGACGGUACCUGCAGAAGAAGCACCGGCUAACUACGUG
rnacentral:rRNA from 1 species